rnacentral:rRNA from 1 species
UACGUAGGGUGCGAGCGUUGUCCGGAAUUAUUGGGCGUAAAGAGCUCGUAGGCGGUCUGUCGCGUCUGCUGUGAAAACCCGAGGCUCAACCUCGGGCCUGCAGUGGGUACGGGCAGACUAGAGUUCGGUAGGGGAGACUGGAAUUCCUGGUGUAGCGGUGAAAUGCGCAGAUAUCAGGAGGAACACCGAUGGCGAAGGCAGGUCUCUGGGCCACUACUGACGCUGAGAAGCGAAAGCGUGGGAGCGAACAGG